AAAGUACUCCCUCCGUCCAGAAAUACUUGUCGAAGGAAUGGAUGUAUGUAGACGUAUUUUAGUUUUACAUACAUCCAUUUUUAUUUAUUUCUCCGACGAGUAAUUCCGGACAGAGGGAGUAUGAU
rfam:Triticum aestivum genome assembly, contig: Triticum_aestivum_CS42_TGACv1_scaffold_002953_1AL